rnacentral:rRNA from 1 species
AAAGGAAUUGACGGGGGCCCGCACAAGCGGAGGAACAUGUGGUUUAAUUCGAUGAUACGCGAGGAACCUUACCUGGGCUCAAACGCACUUGGAAGCGCGCCGAAAGGCGUGUGCCAGCAAUGGCCGGGUGCGAGGUGCUGCAUGGUUGUCGUCAGCUCGUGCCGUGAGGUGUCGGGUUAAGUCCCAUAACGAGCGCAACCCCUACUGCUAGUUGCCAGCGCGUCAAGGCGGGGACUCUAGCGGAACUGCCGGCGUAAGCCGUGAGGAAGGUGGGGAUGACGUCAAAUCAGCACGGCCCUUAUGUCCAGGGCUACACACGUGUUACAAUGGCCGGUACAGAGGGCAGCCACCCCGCGAGGGGGCGCGAAUCCCGAAAGCCGGUCCCAGUUCGGAUCGGAGUCUGCAACCCGACUCCGUGAAGCUGGAUUCGCUAGUAAUCGCGCAUCAGCUACGGCGCGGUGAAUACGUUCCCGGGCCUUGUACACACCGCCCGU